rnacentral:rRNA from 1 species
CGAUUACGGCUCAGUAACACGUGGCCAACCUGCCCUUGGGACUGGAACACCCCCGGGAAACUGGGGUUAAUUCCAGAUAGGUGAAGAAGUCUGGAAUGACUCUUCGCUCAAAAGACGUUUAUGUCAUGCUCAUAUUCGUCGCCCAGGGAUGGGGCCGCGACCGAUCAGGUAGUUGGUGAGGCAAUGGCUCACCAAGCCUUUUACCGGUGCGGGCCGUGAGAGCGGGAGCCCGGAGAUGGGCACUGAGACAAGGGCCCAGGCCCCACGGGGCGCAACAGUCGCGAAAAUUUUGCAAUACACGAAAGUGUGACAGAGCUAUCCCGAGUGCCAUCCGCUGAGGAAGGCUUUUACCCAGUAUAAAUAGCUGGGAGAAUAAGGAGAGGGCAAGUCUGGUGUCAGCCGCCGCGGUAAUACCAGCUCUCCGAGUAGUGUGGACGUUUAUUGGGCCUAAAGCAUCCGUAGCUUGCUAGAUAAGUCCUCUGUUAAAUCCACCGAUUCAAUCGUUGGAUUGCGGGGGAUACUGUUUGGCUAGGGGACGGGAGAGGUCGACGGUAUUCCCGGGGUAGGGGUGAAAUCCUAUAAUCCCGGGAGGACCACCAGUGGCGAAGGCUG